GUUGAACAGUAUUAAUGAAAAAUUAUCCCGAUUAUGGAAAUGUCUCUGUACCAGAAAAAGUGACAAGAAAAGCAGUAGAGUACAAGAUAAAAAUAAUGUGCAUCAUCAACGCUCAUAUUUAACGCGUUAAUUGUUUAAUUCCCGUAUAUCUGCCUGUAGCAGUGCCCGUAUACCUGCACUAUGAUAUAUGAUGUGAGAAUAACAAUAAACAGUACAUUCUGUACUCGCACUAGAUACGAUUGCUGAUACGGCCAUAGACCGAGUGACAUGAGGACGAUUCGAUUUAUCUUGUAAUAAGGCUUCUCGAUUGCAUGCAUCUUGCAAGCUGCGACGCAACUGUGCAGCUCAGAGCUUGAUAUUCUCUCAUAUAAUUGACGGUGAACAUUUGUCUGAAAAUUUUCUCGCCGAUCAUAGAUAAUCGGUACUCUCGUUCGCCGACAAUAUCGUACAAAAGUGGCGAUAAUUUUCUGACCGCGACUCAUAUAUUCGCGGUAUAAACGGCAAAAUAUUGAGCUCAAUUGCCUCAAUUUGUAAUCGAGAGGGGCUGUUCUUUCCUUUAUCACGUAGAUAGAAAAAUAUUGUUGCGCAAGCGCUCUCGUGACUUCUGUUACUCAGCAAUCAGCGGUACUUCAGUCUUGUUCGGUGCGUCAUACGAUACGUUUCUCAGUUUGACUACAUUAAGAUACACCAAUGUACACACCUCGGGAUGCAUUAAUUAUCAUACAUCGCUACAAUAUCGGAUAAAAAUACCAUCUUAAAAUGUAUGUAUGUGCGACGACUGAUGACUAAUAUCGUGAAACUUAAUCAUUAUGCAACAGCGUGAGAAAAACGCAUUUUUCAGCAGCAUGAAUAGUUGCAAGUAAAGCGGAAUGUGGACGUACUCAUCUGCUGCGAAUGAUCGUCGAAUGCAUUCAAUAUCCGAUAACUGCGGCAACAUCAAUCGCAAAUUUAAGAUUGCUACGUGUAGACUGGCGAAGAUGACACAUCCGAAACGUUUAAUAGUAACAAAUGGGAUUCACCUGGGCCGAUAUGUCAAGAGACUCGUUCAAAGUCGAACAAAUCUCUCAUUGCAUCGUCAAACCGAUACACCGAAGAUAAGUUGUCAAGUACGACGAGAAGCCAAUAGCAACGAGCUCCUCACAGCUCAUCAUCGAACAGCCUGCCGUGUAGGUUCAUACGCUGCGCGUCAAAGCAGCGAUGCUAUUUACGGACUGUUUUCUGAAGUGGGAAAUUUUUCGUAUUCUGUCACGAGAAGAAUGGAAAACGCGUCGAACCUUUAUUUUCCAACGCGUCUCUUCAUUCCGACGCGGGAAAGUGGUGAGAAACGCGAGGGUAAGACAAUUUUGGCGCAGGCGCUCUCGUACGUCGCUUUUAUAUCGCGUUCGAUAAGAGUGUCACUCACGAUUGAGUCGCCGAUCAGUACGUUUCUACCUGAAGAAUGAAACAGACGCUCCAGGAACGGGAGACGCAACAGUUCGCGGCGCUACGACACGCUCGGAUCAUUCGGUGGUCGAGGGCGGUUCCGAGAGGCGUGGACAGGAGCGAACCUGCGGUACCAGAUGGGCGAGGGGAUAAGACGGACGGAAGUCGUAUCUAAUGUUCCUUGACGUAACUUUGCGUCUCUCCUCCUUCAGGCGAAACGACACCGGGGAAAGAGUUUCUGGCAGAGGCCCGCGAAACAAUAGGCAUAACUUCCAACACGGUUGACACACCGGUUACCGCAAGCCGAAAGCAGCUAAUACGGCAAGUUAUCCACUUAGAAAUCCGACGUAACACCGGGGAAGAGAAGAGUUCGAGGAAGAAGGAGAGGGGGGGAGUCGUCAGCGAGUACGCGAGAGGCUGUUACUAACUUUGGAUAAACCGGGUUAAGUUUCCUGACUCGGUACUUACGGAAGUGCCACGCGAAAACGCCCGAGUUUAUUCUUCCCGCAUGCAACGACAGAGAAAUAUCGUGGGCAUCGAUUUACAUAACGAUUAAGUUAAUUAAGCGCUUAAAUGUGUUGUUUGCCCUGAAACUCUCGGAGAAAGUAAUCGGAGAAAGUAAUAUAUCUUCGGGGACUACUAAUUCUCAUACCUUCAUGUGGCAUGAAAAUGUUACUACAUACAUAUCUUUUUUUUGUUAUUUUCAACGUCCUGUCACUGCAGAAAACACAGUAGAAAGAAUAAAAAACAUUUUCCGCGAAGAUUACAGGCGUAUCUGGGCGAACAUAGCGAACAUUUAAAACACUUACUGUGAUAAUAAAAAGAUUCAAGGCUUUAAAUUUUCUGACUUAUAAUUUUGUUGAUAUCCUAACAAUAUUUAAAUUUUCGUAAAAUA
rnacentral:misc_RNA from 1 species